rnacentral:rRNA from 1 species
GAUGAACGCUGGCGGCGUGCUUAACACAUGCAAGUCGAACGGAAAGGCCCAAGCUUGCUUGGGUACUCGAGUGGCGAACGGGUGAGUAACACGUGGGUGAUCUGCCCUGCACUUCGGGAUAAGCCUGGGAAACUGGGUCUAAUACCGGAUAGGACCACAUUUUGGAUGGUGUGGUGGAAAGUUUUUCGGUGUGGGAUGAGCUCGCGGCCUAUCAGCUUGUUGGUGGGGUAAUGGCCUACCAAGGCGUCGACGGGUAGCCGGCCUGAGAGGGUGUACGGCCACAUUGGGACUGAGAUACGGCCCAGACUCCUACGGGAGGCAGCAGUGGGGAAUAUUGCACAAUGGGCGCAAGCCUGAUGCAGCGACGCCGCGUGGGGGAUGACGGCCUUCGGGUUGUAAACUCCUUUUGCUAGGGACGAAGCGUUUUUGUGACGGUACCUGGAGAAGAAGCACCGGCUAACUACGUG